AUGACUACGGGGAGGCUGAAGACUUCUUUUUAUCCUCAGCGAUAGGUACUGCCUAGGCAGCAGCAGCGAGAGCUUCCCCGCUUUGCCCUGCCAAUGUUUCCCAACCCUUCUGCAGAUAGGUCGCCUCUAGGGGUCGCGCAUUGCUCACUCUCCAGGCCUGUUCAGUUCUCAGCCUCU
rnacentral:sRNA from 1 species